rnacentral:rRNA from 1 species
CCCUUAGAUGUUCUGGGCUGCACGCGCGCUACACUGAUGCGCUCAACGAGUUUAUGAACUUGCCCGGAAGGGUUGGUUAAUCUUUUUAAAACGCAUCGUGAUGGGGAUAGAUUAUUGCAAUUAUUAAUCUUCAACGAGGAAUUCCUAGUAAGCGCGAGUCAUCAGCUCGUGCUGAUUACGUCCCUGCCCUUUGUACACACCGCCCGUCGCUCCUACCGAUUGAAUGUUCCGGUGAGCUCUUCGGACUGCGCGGUCUGCAGUUUCUGCGUUCCGUGCGGAAAGUUGCGCAAACCUUAACAUUUAGAGGAAGGAGAAGUCGUAACA